GUGCGCCACCGCGAGCUGCCCGAACCGGUACCCGGCGAGGAACGGCUGCACGUUGCACAGCUGGGCGUCGCCGCCUGAGGUGGAGUAGCGGACGUGGCCGAUGGCGGCCUGCCCGGGGAGGCUCCCGAGGUGCGCCGGGUCCCUGAAGACGUCGCUGACGAGCCCCAGCCCCGUCACGGACUUGAGCUUGCCGUCGUCCCCGGCGGCGCAGAUGCCGGCGCCUUCCUCCCCGCGGUGCUGCAGCUUCUGCAGGCCCAGGUAGCACAGCGACGAGGCCUCCGGGUCGCCCACGACGCCGAACACGCCGCACUCCUCGCGGGGGUGGUCAUCGCCGCCGUCGUCCUCCUCCUCGCCGAAGUUGAAGGGCGUGACCUUGUCGAGCAGGGCCCGGGCCGGCGCGGCGCGGGCGGCGCGGUGGCGCAGCGCGAGGAGCGAGGGGCUGGGGCCGGCGUGGCACCUGAGCUGUCGAUGGACGGUGGACGGCGCGGGGGGCGCGCGGAGGGGACGGGAGGAGGGCGUGGCGGGCGGGGCGGCGGCGGCGGCGGCCAUCCCUGGAGCGCGGCGGGAUUGGGAGGGUGA
rnacentral:rRNA from 1 species